rnacentral:lncRNA from 1 species
UUGCAACUAGGUCGUUUUUGAGAGGCUUCGAAGACCGAGAUGCUACUAGAAGUAGGAGCUUGUGUUUGUUUUGUUGACCGGCGAGCAAACCGAGUUUGUGUAAACAUGUAACUGUAACCAGUGUUUGAUUCCUUCUGUUGUAACCUGUUUCACAUGGAACUCCCUACGAUUAGCUUGUAAAGUAUUGCAGAAAGUUUGUUGAUUUAAGAAUUUUUUUUUGGCUUUCCAUGCAAGAAAUUUUGUUACAUUCACCUAACCUAGCUACUAUUUGAAUCAUUCAAAAUGCGCCUCAUUUGUGGACAAAAUUUAAAGGGUGUGCAUAGCACUACCCUUCAAAAUACUCCCACUUUGUUAAAGAGUUCUAUGUUAUGAUACGAGCAGACGAUGAGGUUGGUAUACUAUGAAUUUAGAAUAUAAUAUAAAAAUAAGUAAAUAAUGUGUUAUAAGAUGGUUGAAUUAAGCUACUCAGUACUACGGUCUGGUGGGAUUUCUCUUCAUUUAAAAGUGAGAGGUCUUAGGUUCGAAUGUCGUGGAUGACGAAUUCGAUACCAAAUUAGGUUGCCCGUUGUGUGGCUUUACCGAAUUCCCUCUCCCCUUAGUGUAAAAAUAUCGAUGUACUAAAAAAAAAAGAUGGCUGAAUUAACAAAUAUCAAGUGUUGUGGUCUAUAAUUGAAUUGAAUUGGAGAAAAGUUUUAGUAAGGGAACUUGAUCAUGUAGUUGGUUAGGCUACUCUGAUGAGAAUGAGAUUUUGUGUCUCAUGGAUUGUGCUUUCAUGGAGAAAAGCUUUAGUAGGGAUUGUAUUUACGACCUACAUUGAAUUGCUUUCGAGAAAAGCUUUAGGGUUAGUUUAGGAUUGUUGUGUUUUUUUUUUAACUGCUUCUAUAGUACUGUGAGGAUAAACAAAUGUGAAAAAAGUAGGUAAGUGUUUGGUAACUAUAAUGCUUAAAGUUGGUAUUGUUCACCUGCUCCAAUGAAAAAAAAAACGUUUUUUUUUAGAAGCAUGUGUAGAGUUGCUUUUGCUUUCUGCUGUUUUGAACCAAUGAUUUUGAAAAAUAAAUAUUUAUUUUUUCAUUUUCCAAACAACUUUUUUAAGAAGUUGCGUUAAAAAAAAAUUUAAGUAACCCCAAACCGAUCUUGUGCUUAGCGGAGUGUACGUAUGUGGAGCAAUGUAUUACUUAAACAUAGAGGAGCUUGCUUUUUUAGAGAGUGGCUUUUAACAACUCUUGAUCAGAUUGUCCUAAUAAAGCCUUUCUCUCAUAUGGAAUUGCAGAGGUGGAAUCAUCUUAACGGAAAAAUAUGGAGGUGUUCACUAUAUGCUUUAACAGUUAAAAAAUUAAUAAAUAAAAAUAGUCUCCCACCAUUAGCCGUCGCCGGCCCCUCCACUGAUGGAAACACACCUUUCGAAUUCAAUCAAUCCAUACGUUUGGAUUCAAAAAUCUCUUUGAACCAAUCCAACUCGCUGAAUUUAAUAAACCCUAAAGUUGUACGGACAACCCCCCAACAAUGUGAUUGUUCACCAAGAUGCAAUAUUUCUAUGCAUAAUGGUUCAUCAUUGUUUUGCCACUUUGAAGGGAAAAAAAGGAGAUGCCAAGUCAAAGCUACAACAAGAGUUUUGAUUUGGUGCUGGAAGUUGGUCUGUCUUCUCUGAUUUGCUCAUGGGAUUCUGUAUCUCAAUCAGCUUAAAAGAGUUCAAAUAUUUUGUAUUUAUUUUGUAUGUUGCAGCUUUGUGCUUUUAUUAUCAAUUGACAUGUCUUAAUAAACUUAAUUUUUUUUAACUUUAUUGUUAUAAAUUUAACACGUAUUAAUCAAUAAUAGAGACCACAUAAAUGUCACACUCAAAAUAGGUGCAAAAAAUUUUCUCUCAGUUAAAAAUGAACAGUUAUUUAUUUCAUUUUAUUUUUUUAUUAGCUUUGUCACUGAGUCUAUGAUGAGUCACGGACCAAUAGAAAAAUCAAAUUGAAUUUGUCUUUUUAUUCUUCUUUUUCUUUUGUAGUUGCAUAUCAUUUGGCACUAGGUGACACACAUGGUGACUAACUCAACAUUUAAAUAAUGAAAAGGAAAAAACGAAGAGGAAAGAUGAUGGAGGGUUUAGACUUUACUAGUGAUCCCUCGUCGUCCUUAUCCAAAGUGUAUGUAUUAGUGGAUAAGCAUGUACUAUAAAUAUUAACAUGAAAAAAAGAUGAAGAAAAAGCUACAAAUUCAUAUCCCCCCACAUCCCACCCCCACCCAAUGUUAUGGCUUUUACAAUGUGAAAGAUGUCGGAGUACCAAAAGAUUCCAUCUUUCCCAUGAAGGUUCAACUUAAAGGGAUUGAGAUCCUCUUCGGAUCUCUUUGUUUGGAGCAUGUAAAUUGAGAGAUUUGGACCGCUUAAUUUCAAUAUCUACGAUUCCCAUUAGAUCAUCACACUGACCUCCAUCACAAAAACUCAAAAAAUUUAACAGUCGGAUCGCUUUCUCUUUCUCUUGAAUGAUCUGAAUCUCUCGAUCCCUGAUAACAAACAUAGAGAUCCGGAGUGGAUCUCAUUCGAGAGUGUCCUUUUUUUCAUGUAGACAAGUGUUUAAUGUAGAGAACAUUUUAUAUUGUUUUACCAUUUUUGUGUACCGUCACAGUUGCAUUUCUAGCUCUCUUUCAAACAUAUAUAGCUAAAGAAACAGGGAUAGAUAUGAACUAGGAAAGAGGGAGAGGGAGCGAGGAAGCGUUUACAAACAUGGCAACGAAAUAGGAGGUGUGGCUGGGGAGGAGACCUCUCAUUUAUACAAUGAGAAAGAAAUAACCUAAAACACAAUCAUUUAGCCAUGGCAUUACUAUGCCUCAAAUAAAAACGGAUAGCUUGCUAUGUGUAUUCAAGGGACCUAUAAGGCACUCACCGACCCCACAUGCCCUAAAGCCACCUGAUUCCCAAAACCAUAUAUUAGCCUUGAGUCUCAAAUUACUUCUUUGCUAUUGCAUCAUUGGGAAAGAAAUCCCUAUCCUCCAAUCAUUCAUUUUUUAACCCUCAUUUUCUUUUAGGAUUCUUCAACAAUUCUAAGUUUGUAUUGGUAAAGGGUCUACGAAUCCAUACUAGAUUUUGUUUAGCGUGAUACGAAUUUGCGUUUUUACUAUAUUAUCAAUGCACUAUACAUAUGCAAAUACCGUUAACGAAAUUACGUGGCGUUUUAUUAUUGAUGUAAACAAAGCACUCACCUAGAGUAAACGCAUGCAACAUUUUCCAAAUUUCUAUAAAAUGUAGAUAUUUUGCAUAUUGACUAGCAUUCCAUGUUAGUCCACAUUAUAUGUUAGCCAAACAUUGAAUGCCUAGAUAUACUGGUACCAUCGCAUCUACAGUAGUCCACUUUGCAUGUUAUAUACUAAAGAGGAGUUUAAUACAUCAUCCAAGGUGUUUUCUUCUUUUUAUUUUCCCAACUAUUUGGAGCUUGCCCUGCCAUAUAUACCAGGUAUACUUCGUCAACAUUUUAUCAUGUCUGCUGGCCCUUCACUUUUUGAGAGAUCUCAAAUCUUCUUUAUUCUUGUGCCCUAGCUAGACAUGUGCCGGGGAACAAUGGUAGGGGUCACAUAUUUUAGUCACAAACUAGAAAGUCCUUACUACUUCAUCUUCUGGUUCAAUCUUCCUUCACGUUAUCUAGUGAUAUAAAACUAAUCAAGACCCUUGAUCAUUUUAAAGACGUACACACAUAGUUCGUUCUCAGAAAUGCUCGAAUGUUGUAUAAAAAUCUGGAUGUGAAGAUUUCAGAUGGGGAUAUAUAUAUUAAUAAAUUUGAGAAUUUGGAUUCCAGCAUUUCAUUCAUUUACCGAAGUUUUUAGGUUUUUGAGAUGUUGAACAAAAGAUUAAGACUGCUGCUGCCAUUCCAGUUAACUGGAAGAUGGACAGCUAAAAAACCAGGCAGCCAAUCAUUCAACGGAAUAUAUAUACAUGUAUAUAUAUUUGUGUGUUUGUGUAGCGUGAAGUUAUUCUUUGGAACGAAUCAAAACGAAGGAGCCUUUUCAUCCAACCACGUACUAAGAUUCUAUCCUCGACCCUGAUCGGCUGAUCACGUACGUACAAAUUAUAGCAUUUGGACAUCAAGGAUUCCAGUUCAGAUAAGUAUGUAGCGCUUAUAUAAUAUGAGAAAUAGGAACAAAUAAUAUAGCAAUUGUGAGGUGUCAAGUAGUCAAUGAUUCAUUAAUCAAUAAGAAAAAAAAUCUUACUCUCACGGAAUACAAGCAAAUCUUUUAGUAAAUGCAUAAAGAUCAGAGAAAAACAAAAGAAACCAUAAAAUUAUAUCUAUUUUCUGUUCAACCUGCUACAGGAGCUAACAUAUUGCCAUAAUUUAUUUCAGUAAUUCCUCCAUAAAUUAUUUUCCUGGCAACCAAGCCCAGAAUCAGGAGAAAAGGUCAUUCAUCCGGUGAAAAGAAAGGAAAGAAAGAGGUCAGGGAAUAUUAAGGAUGAUAUAGUAACUAUUUUAUAUAUAUCAUAUAUGAUAAGCCAAGAAUAUCAGACUUGCCUGAGUUUACAUUUCCUCAAGUUCAUCACCUUUCUUUACUGCUGUAAAUUAGGUCAUGGCUGAAAGAUGAUGAAAACCCUAAAUCCUCCUCUCACCGUCCUCCUCCUCCUCCUCCUCCUCCUCCUCCGGCCCGCAACUUUUCGACAUCGAAGACUGAUAAUCUCCUCUUGAUGACAUUCCUCUCAGCUUUUGAAGCACCAUCGCCAUCUUUCCUUGGACAAAUUCAGUGACACCAAAAGAAAGAAAUUGAACGACGACAGAGACUGAUCCUGUGAAUUCCUUCAGAAACUGGUCACUUAGGUAGAAGUUAGAAUUAAGGUGUAGAGAGAGAGAGAGAGAGAGAGAGAGAGAGAGAGAGGGGGAGAGAGAGAGAGGG